CAGGAAUUACCAAGGCCACAAGACAUGCUGGCAACAUUUGCAACCCCAAGAAGAAGAAAGCAGGCAAAGGUCGACACCCCAGAGAAGGCUUUUCUGCGAGCUCGCACAGCAAGACUUGCCUCGGAGCAGCAGAGAUCAAGGAAAGCAAUAAAAAAACUUCAGCAGUUUAAGAGGCGCCUUAAAAAACAAAA
rnacentral:lncRNA from 1 species